UACGUAGGGGGCAAGCGUUAUCCGGAAUUAUUGGGCGUAAAGAGCACGCAGGCGGUCUGCUAAGUUUCAGGUGACAGUCACCGGCUUACCUGGUGGAGUAUCUGGAAAACUGGUAGACUUGAGCACGAGAGAGGGACAUGGAACUCCAGGUGGAGCAGUGAAAUGCGUAGAGAUCUGGAAGAACACCAAAGGCGAAGGCAGUGUCCUGGCUCGUUGCUGACGCUCAGGUGCGAAAGCCAGGGGAGCGAACGGG
rnacentral:rRNA from 1 species